rnacentral:rRNA from 1 species
CCUACGGGAGGCAGCAGUGGGGAAUAUUGGACAAUGGGCGCAAGCCUGAUCCAGCCAUGCCGCGUGAGUGAUGAAGGCCUUAGGGUUGUAAAGCUCUUUUGCCAGGGAAGAUAAUGACUGUACCUGGAGAAUAAGCCCCGGCUAACUUCGUGCCAGCAGCCGCGGUAAUACGAAGGGGGCUAGCGUUGUUCGGAAUCACUGGGCGUAAAGCGCACGUAGGCGGACUUUUAAGUCAGGGGUGAAAGCCUGAGGCUCAACCUCAGAACUGCCCUUGAUACUGGGAGUCUUGAGUAUGGUAGAGGUUGGUGGAACAGCAAGUGUAGAGGUGAAAUUCGUAGAUAUUUGCUAGAACACCAGUGGCGAAGGCGGCCAACUGGACCAUAACUGACGCUGAGGUGCGAAAGCGUGGGGAGCAAACAGGAUUAGAUACCCUGGUAGUCCACGCCGUAAACGAUGGAUGCUAGCCGUUAGCCAGCUUGCUGGGUAGUGGCGCAGGUAACCCUUUAAGCAUCCCGCCUGGGGAGGUACGGUCGCGAGAUAAACUACAAGAAGUAGACGCGNGAGACGNGCGACGACGACGACGAGGGAGGUAGG